rnacentral:rRNA from 1 species
UACGUAGAUGGCAAGCGUUGUCCGGAUUUAUUGGGCGUAAAGCGAGCGCAGGCGGUUCUUUAAGUCUGAUGUGAAAGCCCCUGGCUCAACCAGGGAGGGUCAUUGGAAACUGGAGAACUUGAGUGCAGAAGAGGAAAGUGGAAUUCCAUGUGUAGCGGUGAAAUGCGUAGAUAUAUGGAGGAACACCAGUGGCGAAGGCGACUUUCUGGUCUGUAACUGACGCUGAGGCUCGAAAGCAUGGGGAGCAAACAGGAUUAGAAACCCCAGUAGUCC